GUGGGUGUGCCGGAGUGGUUAUCGCGUAUGACUAGAAAUCAUGUGGGCUUUGCCCAUGCAAGUUCGAAUCCUGCCACUCACA